AAAAUGCGAUAAGUAAUGUGAAUUGCAGAAUUCAGUGAAUCAUCGAGUCUUUGAACGCACAUUGCGCCCCCUGGUAUUCCGGGGGGCAUGCCUGUCCGAGCGUCAUUGCUGCCCUUCAAGCCCGGCUUGUGUGUUGGGUCGUCGUCCCCUCCGGGGGACGGGCCCGAAAGGCAGCGGCGGCACCGCGUCCGGUCCUCGAGCGUAUGGGGCUUUGUCACCCGCUCGAUAAGGACCGGCCGGGCGCCAGCCGGCGUCUCCAACCUUUUUUUCUCAGGUUGACCUCGGAUCAGGUAGGGAUACCCGCUGAACUUAAGC
rnacentral:misc_RNA from 1 species